rnacentral:rRNA from 1 species
GCCUUAGUAGCGGCGAGUGAAGCGGCAAAAGCUCAAAUUUGAAAUCUGGCUCUUUCAGAGUCCGAGUUGUAAUUUGAAGAAGGUAUCUUUGGGUCUGGCUCUUGUCUAUGUUUCUUGGAACAGAACGUCACAGAGGGUGAGAAUCCCGUGCGAUGAGAUGAUCCAGGCCUAUGUAAAGUUCCUUCGAAGAGUCGAGUUGUUUGGGAAUGCAGCUCUAAGUGGGUGGUAAAUUCCAUCUAAAGCUAAAUAUUGGCGAGAGACCGAUAGCGAACAAGUACAGUGAUGGAAAGAUGAAAAGAACUUUGAAAAGAGAGUGAAAAAGUACGUGAAAUUGUUGAAAGGGAAGGGCUUGAGAUCAGACUUGGUAUUUUGUAUGUUACUUCUUCGGGGGUGGCCUCUACAGUUUAUCGGGCCAGCAUCAGUUUGGGCGGUAGGAGAAUUGCGUUGGAAUGUGGCACGGCUUCGGUUGUGUGUUAUAGCCUUCGUCGAUACUGCCAGCCUAGACUGAGGACUGCGGUUUAUACCUAGGAUGUUGGCAUAAUGAUCUUAAGUCGCCCGUCUUGA